UGGGGGAUAUUGCACAAUGGGCGAAAGCCUGAUGCAGCAACGCCGCGUGAGGGAAGACGGUUUUCGGAUUGUAAACCUCUGUCUUCGGUGAAGAAACAAAUGACGGUAGCCGAGGAGGAAGCCACGGCUAACUACGUGCCAGCAGCCGCGGUAAUAAGUAGGUGGCAAGCGUUGUCCGGAAUUACUGGGUGUAAAGGGAGCGCAGGCGGGGAGACAAGUCAGCUGUUAAAACUAUGGGCUUAACCCAUAAACUGCAGUUGAAACUGUUUUUCUUGAGUGGAGUAGAGGUAGGCGGAAUGCCGAGUGUAGCGGUGAAAUGCGUAGAUAUUCGGAGGAACACCAGUGGCGAAGGCGGCCUACUGGGCUCUAACUGACGCUGAGGCUCGAAAGUGUGGGGAGCAAACA
rnacentral:rRNA from 1 species